UGUUCAGAGAUUGUCAAUGUCGUUACCUACACAGUAGAUACGGGAAUACAAUUGUUAA
rnacentral:sRNA from 12 species